GCUCUGCUCUCGUUCUUGCUCUCACGCCUUCGCAAGAUCGAAGGAGAUGGUGGAGCACGGCGCAGAAACGAACGCCGAAUGACAGGAGAAAUUACUUUUCUAAUGCGGUCGUUAAUACAUUGCGGAUGGAAUUACUGUAGAAGAUUGAAGAUAAACUUCACAUUCAGCUCUAUUUUGACAGAUGAUGUACGGUCAU